UUGCUCGCAAUGCCUCUUUAUUCCGCUCACGUUUUCCUUCCUUUAGACGACGACAAAGAUGAAGACGAGAAUGACGACAACGAUGAAGAAGAAGGGAUAUAAAAUCAAUUAAAAAAAAUGUAUACACCUAUACAAUCACAAUUUUUGUGACCAUGACAUUUUGAAUAGACCGAUCGAUUGAUAUCGUCGUCGAAAAAAAAACUGUUUAGGCGCGCGAUCGACAUUUAGAAGAAUAAUAAAAAUUCAUAGAGGAAUCGUACUAUUAACGCGAUGGGAAAGUUCUCAAGGUCAUACGCAGAACUGUGGCUAGAUACGUCACACGGUAUAUUUAAUGGCUCGGCAUAACUCGCGCUAGCAAGUACGUGAGCAAGAAGAAAAACGAUGUAAUUCGAGUUACUCCACGGUGUGGUGGUAAACGCAUCGACGAGAACUACCAAGGAAUAUGACGAUCAUCGUUGAGAAUAUCUUUUUUACGAUGUUACACAUGCAUUUAAAUAAUAAUGAAUAAUUUCGUACUUUAACAAUACUAAAUUUCUUAAAUAUGUAUGAUGAUCUUUACUUUGUUCAAGGGCAAUCUAACGAAUUUAGGUCGAUUAAACAUAUGGGAGUUAUAAAAAUGCGAACGACCUCAAAUUGUUGGAAGCAUUUACAAGAAAAGAUUUAAUAGACCUGUCAUUAUUGAGUUCGACUCUGUUAUGAAUAUUCACAAUGAGUACAUUCUAUAUUUAUGAGAAGUUUACAAGUUCUUUUCACAUCGUCGUUUUUGUUCGUAUUGUAUAAAAUGAGGAAAAGAUGGUACCAAAAUGGCGGAUGUGUUAGAAAAGAGUAGAUACCGUUAUUGAAAAAACGUUGGCAUCGCAAAUACAUGUUUAGGCAAAGAGAAACAUGUAGAUAUAAUAUUACAAGAGUGGGUGAGAUUCGCGUGCUAAGGGGGUUUCGAACCGAGGCAUAGCUGUGUUAGCUAACCCAGUUCUCAGCUCUAGCGCCGUCCAACAGGGUCGUCGUCGGUGAACGCACUCUCCUCCAACUCUUCGUAUCUACCCGGUUCUCUUCGCUUCAGGCAGAGCAUCGAUGCUACGCUACGAUCGAAUAAGUCGCGAUGCGAACGAUUUAUCCUCGGGUACUAUCUCGAUUAAUCACGUUAUCUAUUUAAGUCGAUCGUAAACGACUGGAUCAUAAGUCUCUUUCUCUCUCUCUCUCUCUCUCUCUCUCUCUCUCUCUCUCUCUCUCUCUCUCUCUCUCUCUCUCUCUCUCUCUCUCUCUCUCUCUCUCUCUAGAUGAUAAUUACAACAAGUUGAAUUAAAUAGCCAACAUCAGUUUGAUCCAAGCAAAUUUCUUGAUUCAUGCUGGCAAUUAAGUUGAUCAUAAAUGUUGGAACUGUUUGGAAUAUUUCGUUCUUAGUUCGAGGAAAUUGUGAAAUUUAUAGAUUAUGAUACGUACUUAGUACCUGAUAAAUUGUUUGGAAUAUCUUUGGAAUAUCUCUUCGUUUCGACAACAUCAAUUAUGCAUGUUUUAUAUGUGAACGUGGAGCUAGAGGAUGAGGAAGAAACAAGUUACGCUUGUUCUUACGCAGGAAAGAAAGAAAGAAGGAAAGAAAGAAAGAAAGAAAGAAAGAAAGAGAGCAAGUUGGGGUAGAGGGAACGAAAUAGUACAGAGACAAAAGUAAUGCUUCGAGAAGGUGGAGUGGGAAACAUCUUUGACGAGAACUAAAAUUAAAUUAACCAAGUGUUGGAGACACUUCUGAUUCACCUCAGCACCGAGGGUUUUAUUUGGAGAUGGGCCAAGGGCAACGGACUCGGCAUGCUGAUGAUCUUCGGGUCAAACUGUUACAAUUGCCCUUGAAAAACUCGACAAAAUUUUAGAAUUUUUUAGGGUUUUGAAGAUAACUUACACACACAUAAUACACAUAUUCUCAUGAAAAAGUUCUAAUUCAUUCAUUCCAGUAAAUAAAUCAAAUAUCCAAAUAAAAGUCUGACGUAUUAACAACCACGGCAAUUAAAACUGCUAUAUAUUUAAGAGAAAUAAAGUACAUAAAUUUGAUAAUAAAUUUUCUAUUAUAAUAUCAUAUUGAUAAAAGAUAGCUGUUACU